rnacentral:rRNA from 1 species
UACGUAGGGUGCAAGCGUUGUCCGGAAUUAUUGGGCGUAAAGAGCUCGUAGGCGGUCUGUCGCGUCUGCUGUGAAAACCCGAGGCUCAACCUCCGGACCUGCAGUGGGUACGGGCAGACUAGAGUGCGGUAGGGGGAGAAUUGGAAUUCCUGGUGUAGCGGUGGAAUGCGCAGAUAUCAGGAGGAACACCGAUGGCGAAGGCAGAUCUCUGGGCCGUAACUGACGCUGAGGAGCGAAAAGCAUGGGGAGCGAACAGG